UAGGGAAUCUUCCGCAAUGGGCGAAAGCCUGACGGAGCAACGCCGCGUGAGUGAUGAAGGUCUUCGGAUCGUAAAACUCUGUUAUUAGGGAAGAACAAAUGUGUAAGUAACUAUGCACGUCUUGACGGUACCUAAUCAGAAAGCCACGGCUAACUACGUGCCAGCAGCCGCGGUAAUACGUAGGUGGCAAGCGUUAUCCGGAAUUAUUGGGGGUAAAGCGCGCGUAGGCGGUUUUUUAAGUCUGAUGUGAAAGCCCACGGCUCAACCGUGGAGGGUCAUUGGAAACUGGAAAUCUUGAGUGCAGAAGAGGUAAGUGGAAUUCCAUGUGUAGCGGUGAAAUGCGCAGAGAUAUGGAGGAACACCAGUGGCGAAGGCGACUCUCUGGUCUGUAACUGACGCUGAUGUGCGAAAGCGUGGGGAUCAAACAGG
rnacentral:rRNA from 1 species